GCUAAAAAUUCGGAAAGGGCACAAAACUUUCCAGCAGCUUUCACAAAACAAAAACCUGGAGACGGCUGUAUAAAAUGUUUUUGUAGUUUCACAAAGGCUAUCCAGAACUAGUCAACUUCUUCUGAGACGGCUGAUCGCUUGAUGUCUCCUCAUUUUUGUCCAUCGCCUUCCUUGCUAGCUCAUAACCAGCAAAGUUCAUGGCACCUAAAGGGGCAAUCCAGAAAAACCUUGGUACUGCUCCUUUAAAUAGUCCAAG
rnacentral:misc_RNA from 1 species